rnacentral:rRNA from 1 species
UACGUAGGCAGCGAGCGUUGUUCGGAGUUACUGGGCGUAAAGGGUGUGUAGGCGGUUAUUUAAGUUUGGUGUGAAAUCUCCCGGCUCAACCGGGAGGGUGCGCCGAAUACUGAAUGACUUGGAGUGCGGGAGAGGUGAGUGGAAUUCCUGGUGUAGCGGUGAAAUGCGCAGAUAUCAGGAAGAACACCCGUGGCGAAGGCGGCUCUCUGGUACGUGACUGACGCUGAGACGCGAAAGCGUGGGGAGCGAACAGG